CCUACGGGAGGCUGCAGUGAGGAAUAUUGGUCAAUGGGGGCAACUCUGAACCAGCCAAGCCGCGUGGAGGAUGAAGGUUUUCCGAUUUGAAACUCGUUUUGUUAUAGGAGAUAAUGACGGUAUCUGACUAAUGAGCACCGGCUAACUCCGUGACAGCAGCCGCGGUAAUACGGAGGGUGCAAGCGUUACUCGGAAUCACUGGGCGUAAAGUGCGCGUAGGCGGGAUAGCAAGUCAGCUGUGAAAUCCUAUGGCUUAACCAUAGAAGUGCAGUUGAAACUGUUAUUCUAGAGUAUGGGAGAGGUAGGUGGAAUUCUUGGUGUAGGGGUAAAAUCCGUAGAGAUCAAGAGGAAUACUCAUUGCGAAGGCGACCGGCUAGAACAUAACUGACGCUGAUGCGCGAAAGCGUGGGGAGCAAACAGGAUUAGAUACCCUAGUAGUC
rnacentral:rRNA from 1 species